GGAUCUUGCAGAACCAAUUAUAAAAGUUCCUCUGCGGGACUGCAAGAAGAUCGAGUUUGUGGCGAAAGAGACCAAUCCCUUUAACGAGCCUAAACCACCUGUGAUAUCAGUUUCCUGUGAGCAGGUUCUCUUCAUCAAAGAGAGGAAUGUCAUCGCUCCGUAUCGAAAUGAAAGGG